UUUGAUGGCGACCGGCGCACGGGUGAGUAACACGUAUCCAACCUGCCGAUGACUCGGGGAUAGCCUUUCGAAAGAAAGAUUAAUACCCGAUGGCAUAGUUCUUCCGCAUGGUGGAACUAUUAAAGAAUUUCGGUUAUCGAUGGGGAUGCGUUCCAUUAGGCAGUUGGUGGGGUAAUGGCCCACCAAACCUUCGAUGGAUAGGGGUUCUGAGAGGAAGGUCCCCCACAUUGGAACUGAGACACGGUCCAAACUCCUACGGGAGGCAGCAUG
rnacentral:rRNA from 1 species